GAGGAUCUUAGGAGAGAGCCGGAAGGAAAAGGUAAUUAAUAGUCCCAUUUUAAAACCAACGCUGUUAAGGCAUGCAUCAAAGUGUCGAGGUAUUCAUGCCUUUCCAUAAGUGGGUGAAUGAUCAUGCAGAUGCCUGACUCGGGAGGUUAUAUUUGCUAAAGUCACCCUUUUUGAGUUCAAAUGUUUACUCUAGUUCCUUGCAGAACCAAAACAAGGAAUAGAAACUUGGAAAGUUGAACAAGAUGAGUACUUGGCCAGUGCAGUUUAUGAGCAUAUGCAAUUGAAUGAGCAGGUGCAGCAACAGAUAUGGUGCCCAUCUGUAAGAGAGGAGAGUUACAACAGAACCAUCAGCUAAUUUAUUGCACCCUUUGCAAACUUCAGCUUAACAGGGGCGACGAGGUUAAUUUAGAUAUACUACGGUAUCGAUUAGCGGAAGCCCAUGCAGUUCAUCUUGAACGAGGGUGUAGAUUAAAACCCAAG